UGGGCAUAUUGCUUAAAUAUCCAUCCCCACCUUGGAUAAUGAGAAUGAGAGCAACUGCUUAAGAAUGGCAAAGAAGCUAAGAGGCGCCUGAGUCUCUGAGGACUAUUCAGAUGGAGAAACUAAGAAUCAGCAACGGCUCAGAUGACAGAAAGAACACUGAAUGAUGAAGACACCAUAAAUCAUUUUUGGCCUUGUCUUUACCCUGACAUCUACUAGGAUAUGGCCUUGGCAAGGCUAUUACCCAGCUUGGAUUUUACUCUUUCUUUAUAUGGAGAGGGAGAUUAAUUUGGUUAGAUGACUCCUGCUAUUUGUU